GCCAUUGUAGCUCAGUGGCAAGAGUACUUGCCUGGUAUGCAUGAAGCUCUAGGUUCAAUCCCUAGGACUGCUA
rnacentral:tRNA from 1 species